CGGCGGACGGGUGAGUAACACGUGGAUAACCUACCUAUAAGACUGGGAUAACUUCGGGAAACCGGAGCUAAUACCGGAUAAUAUAUUGAACCGCAUGGUUCAAUAGUGAAAGACGGUUUUGCUGUCACUUAUAGAUGGAUCCGCGCCGCAUUAGCUAGUUGGUAAGGUAACGGCUUACCAAGGCAACGAUGCGUAGCCGACCUGAGAGGGUGAUCGGCCGCACUGGAACUGAGACACGGUCCAG
rnacentral:rRNA from 1 species